rnacentral:rRNA from 1 species
UAAGGAAUAUUGGACAAUGGAGGCAACUCUGAUCCAGCCAUGCCGCGUGAAGGAAUAAGGCCCUAUGGGUUGUAAACUUCUUUUAGACGGGACAAAACCCCUUUACGUGUAAAGGGUUGAUGGUACUGUCAGAAUAAGCACCGGCUAACUCCGUGCCAGCAGCCGCGGUAAUACGGAGGGUGCGAGCGUUAUCCGGAUUUACUGGGUUUAAAGGGUGCGUAGGUGGGCUUAUAAGUCAGUGGUGAAAUCUCCGAGCUUAACUUGGAAACUGCCGUUGAUACUAUAGGUCUUGAAUUAUCUGGAGGUCAGCGGAAUAUGUCAUGUAGCGGUGAAAUGCUUAGAUAUGACAUAGAACACCAAUUGCGAAGGCAGCUUACUACAUAUAAAUUGACGCUGAGGCACGAAAGCGUGGGGAUCAAACA